GUGGGAAGUGUAGGGCGGCAAGCGGAAGAGGCGGGGCGAGUGGACCAUCCGCUUCCGGAGUCAAGGUUUUCGGGGUUUGGACGUCUAGGUGGUGCGGCCUGCAGUUUGUUUCUGUCUGUCUUCUGCCUUGCUAAGGCCGUAGAGCUGGUGCGUGCGGGUAGCGGGGCGCUCCGAGGAGCCGUAUGCCGGCGGCGCCAUGGUCCACCUCAGUCCUCUCCUCUACAAGUCCUACCGUGGGGGCCACUUAACCAUCCGCCUUGCCCUGGGUGGCUGCACCAACCGGCCCUUCUACCGCAUUGUGGUUGCUCACAACAAGUGUCCCAGGGAUGGCCGUUUCGUAGAGCAGCUGGGAUCCUAUGAUCCAUUGCCCAACAGUCAUGGAGAAAAAAUCGUUGCCCUCAACCUAGACAGGAUCUGUCAUUGGAUUGGCUGCGGGGCCCACCUCACUAAGCCUAUGGAAAAGCUUCUGGGUCUUGCUGGCUUUUUCCCUCUGCAUCCUAUGAUGAUCACAAAUGCUGAGAGACUGCGAAGGAAACGGGCAUGUGAAGUCCUCUUAGCUUCUCAGAAAACAGAUGCAGAAGCUACAGAUACAGAGGCUACAGAAACAUAAGUGAGCUGACUUUAGUGAGCAUAGCAGUGGGAACAAAGUCAAGGUUCUCUUGAAACACUCUGCAGAGAUCUUAAUUUUGUUAGAUUUGGAGUUCAAUAAAUGGAGUAUCCUGAGUUGUCCUUGCUCUUCUGGCCUGACCUGCACAGGGCCCAUGGAGAGAUUUAUUCUUGUGUGACUUAGCGCUGGAUGUGGGUACUAAUUAGCUUUUUUGGACUUUGUCUUGGGAUAGACAGUGACUGUGGGAGGAUUGGACUUUUGAGUGGGGCUCUGGGUCUCUUGGACAACUUUACAAUCUACUGGCUUCCAAGACAUCCUGCUUCAAAACCCCCAGCCAGACUAUUCACGGCUUGUUCAAAUCUUCAUGUUCAUCUCGCAAGUGUCUCAAGCAUUCCCAUGUGUUUUAAAAGCCUGAAGUCAGUGAGAUGAAAUUCAACAUCAAGAAUUUGAAGUAACUUGUGAGGAAAUAAUAUAAAGAUACCAUUGGGGCAAUGGCUCACACCUGUGAUCUCAGCACUUUGGGAGGCUGAGGUGGAAGGAUCACUUGAGACCAGUUUGAGACCAGCCUGGGCAACACAGCAAGACCCCAUCUCUACAAAAAAUUUAAAAAUUAGCUGGGUGUGGUGGUGCUCACACAUAGUUCCAGCUACUCGGGAAGCUGAGGCAGUAAGAUCACUUGAGCCCAGGAGGCCGAUACUUAACUGUGAUUGUUCCGCUACAGUCCAGCCUGGGUGACAGAGUAAGACCCUGUCUCAAGAAGAAAAGAAAACAUUACAUAAUUUGGCUACAGCAUAAUAAUUAAUUUGAUUUUCUGUUUUUUUGAAAAUUUUAGUUGCAAUAAAAGAGUAUUUCAAUGUGCUAUUUCAA